rnacentral:rRNA from 1 species
GGGGGGGCCAGGCUACACAUGCAGUCGAGCGGCAGCACGGGUACUUGUACCUGGUGGCGAGCGGCGGACGGGUGAGGAAGGCUGGGAAUCUGCCUGGUAGUGGGGGAUAACGGUCGGAAACGGACGCUAAUACCGCAUACGUCCUACGGGAGAAAGCAGGGGACCUUCGGGCCUUGCGCUAUCAGAUGAGCCUAGGUCGGAUUAGCUAGUUGGUGAGGUAAUGGCUCACCAAGGCGACGAUCCGUAACUGGUCUGAGAGGAUGAUCAGUCACACUGGAACUGAGACACGGUCCAGACUCCUACGGGAGGCAGCAGUGGGGAAUAUUGGACAAUGGGCGAAAGCCUGAUCCAGCCAUGCCGCGUGUGUGAAGAAGGUCUUCGGAUUGUAAAGCACUUUAAGUUGGGAGGAAGGGCAGUUACCUAAUACGUGAUUGUUUUGACGUUACCGACAGAAUAAGCACCGGCUAACUCUGUGCCAGCAGCCGCGGAAAUACAGAGGGUGCAAGCGUUAAUCGGAAUUACUGGGCGUAAAGCGCGCGUAGGUGGUUUGUUAAGUUGGAUGUGAAAUCCCCGGGCUCAACCUGGGAACUGCAUCCAAAACUGGCAAGCUAGAGUAUGGUAGAGGGUGGUGGAAUUUCCUGUGUAGCGGUGAAAUGCGU